CAGCCGCCGCGGUAAAACCAGCACCUCAAGUGGUCAGGAUGAUUAUUGGGCCUAAAGCAUCCGUAGCUCGUUUUGUAAGUUUUCGGUUAAAUCCAUACGCUUAACGUUUGGGCUGCCGGGAAUACUGCAUAACUAGGAAGUGGGAGAGGUAGACGGUACUCGGUAGGAAGGGGUAAAAUCCUUUGAUCUAUUGAUGACCACCUGUGGCGAAGGCGGUCUACCAGAACACGUUCGACGGUGAGGGAUGAAAGCUGGGGGAGCAAACCGGAUUAGAUACCCGGGUAGUCCCAGCUGUAAACUAUGCAAACUCAGUGAUGCAUUGGCUUGUGGCCAAUGCAGUGCUGCAGGGAAGCCGUUAAGUUUGCCGCCUGGGAAGUACGUACGCAAGUAUGAAACUUAAAGGAAUUGGCGGGGGAGCAC
rnacentral:rRNA from 2 species